GCGCUCAUAGCUCAGUUGGAAGAGCACCGGCCUUCUAAGCCGGCAGUCCCAGGUUCGAGUCCUGGUGGGCGCA
rnacentral:tRNA from 1 species